UGGCGCCCCAAUGUGGGACUCGAGAACGGGGGAGUUCGUGAGGGAUGCUGUGAGGGAUGCUGUUCGUGGGUCCAAAGUAGAAAAAAGGAAAAGAAAACAGAGGGCCUGACGACAUGGGAGCCUGCCAUGCCACGCUGAACCUCGGUGAGUGAACAGCGAUUAUGGGACAAGAAAUUAUCCAGCAUGAGAUUUUUGUUGAAAAUUUAGUAAAAGCUUUAAAGGCGCAAGGAGUAAAGGUUAAAAUUAAGCAAUUAUGUCAAUAUUUUAAUUUUAUAAAAGAGGUUUGCCCUU
rfam:Cavia porcellus supercont2_321 genomic scaffold, whole genome shotgun sequence.